GUUCUUCUUGACCUCUAUGGCUGGCCUAAAAUUGGUAAUUCGGCAUUGGCACACUUUACUCAAAUCUAUACUGCAAGCCCCAGGUGAAUACCUUGUCUAUUUGGUUUUUUUCAUCAUGAAUGCUAAUAACUUGUAUUGUUCAUGUUUUUGAAUAAUAAUUGCAUUAGUUGUCCUUUGUUUGUAACUUAGUUGAGUGUUUUGGUUGUAGAUCGAUUCAAUUCUGGACAGAAACUUCUUUGUGAAAAUGUGAAAGCUUGAUUCAUUCCUCUAUGGGCUUCUCAUGCCUCUAUGGGCUGAAGCUGAAGGCUGUGCUGCUCUGUGUGUGGGUGGGUAGUCAGAGGAGGUUGCUGGUGGAAAGCCUCCUUCUGAUGCUGACGCCUGAAGCAACCCUGUGAGGAGUGGUAGGUUGUUUGACUGUUGGCCAUUUACUGCUCUAACCACCAUCUGAUUGCUGGCAACAUUAGUUCUUGGUCUAGCCAUCCUAGUUCUGUAGUUGGGAACAGCAUUCUGAUGUUUGAACUUGUCCAUCACAAGUGUUUUGAGUGGAAUGGUUAUGUCCAAUGGCAGCAGGAUCUCCUCCAGUUCAUGCCGCUCAAGAUCUUCCUGGUCUCCAACUUGAUAGACAACACUGCACCAAUCUUUCACUGUCAUACUUGAUAACUUUCCCUACAUAGUACGUGUUUGCAAACAGCUUUCUCACUUUCCGCUCUUCUAGCCAUUUCCCAAAGCGAUGGUCAACUCGAGAUCACGAAGCAUCUCUUACUGCAAGUUGUGAACCAGAUGUGAAUUCAGGAGGCAAGUCUGGGACACGAUUGGUAAUGAUGGCAGGCUCUCUGGGUACUUUAACAAUAGGUUCAGUGUAUGGCUCUUGCAUGCCCUUACUCCCCUCCAUGACCUGAUAUUGCACCAAUUUCUAGGAUUUAACCAAAACAAACUAGAGCAGAAAUAAAGUAGUUUCAUCUAUAAGAUGAGUCAUCAUAAGCAAGAAAAGUCAAAAAUAAGUCGCCAUAAACCAAAUACUUUCACAGCUACAAUGCAGUAUUUUGACGAUCCAGGCAUGUUGAAACAUAAGAGAUACCAACCAACACUUGGGAUUUAGGAAGCAUGGCACAUCGCACCAGUGUUACAGGUAUCAUGUCAUAAUAGGCAUCAGGUCUCAACACAGCAGUCUGGCACUUAGGUGAAGUACAUAUGUAUUAAGGAUAUUAUUUUUUCAAUAACAUGUGAUGUGUUCUGAUACAUGGUGCGAAGUGUACAAUAUACUACUGUAUCAAGAGAUAAAAAUCCCAUUCCCCACUGGCCACUAUCUACAAACAACAUAGUAAUGCAGCUACAGCAUGCCUAUUGUGUACAAUGUCCAAUGUAUACAAACAACAUGGCAAUGCACGCUAUCUCCACACAUAUCAACUGGACAGUAAAAUGCCCACUGUACACAUGCUUCAACUGAAAAACUGAUUUUUUUAGAACAGCAGCCAAUAGCAUCAGCAGAACCACCCAUCCAUGGCACAACAGAACAGUAGCACAAGCAGCAGCACAACACCAGUAGCUCAAGCGGGAGCAGCUAGCACACGCACGAGAGUGGAAGAGGAGCUCAUCGAGGCGGCUUCCGGUGAUGAGGCAGAUCCAGGUCGGCGGCCGGCCGGCUUUUGAGAGGAGGGAGAGGCGGGUCGUUGUCGAGGAGCGCGACAUCCAGAGGAAGAGAGAGCGCUUCGGUGUCCCGCCUGGAUGAUCGUGCUUACCACCAAAUUUUCAAUGGCCUUCAUUAGUCAAUUUCUUCACAGAAUGGCGUACUAUACGUUUUCUUGUGUUUAAUCAGCAUGCUCGCAUAAGUGGACUCACUAUAAACACGUACGCGGGCAUGGCGUAUGGGGUGGCGGCCAGGACUUUGGCCAUCAGCGCGAACUCGAUGUUUUGUGGUCUGAUUUCAGCUUGAUUUUGUUUUGUUUCACUUGCUAUCUGCAGUCUCUUAGACUCUAGGUAGAAAGUGUUUAAAAGAGUUGACUUGUUAGUUUCCUAAAAAUUUCUUCCAUGAAAGAAUAUGAUUACGAUCUUUAGGGUUGUUUUGUUGUUCCAAAGGCACAUGGGAGUCUGCGGGAAAAAAGCUGACGAUGUUUUCUCUUGGAUAUUAAGAAAAGGGAGACACUCGGCGAUCUGGCUCUGCGGCAGGUAUGCCUUUUGUGCCCCUCUAUUUACUUACUUACUAUCAGCAUGGUUUAGUUUAGAGAGAACUACAGUACUUUGAGGCUACUGUAUGUGGUGUGUUCCCUAUUGUGCAUGGAAGUUAUUUUUCUGGGCAUUAUUCUACAAGGACUGUGUGUAACUACUUAGAAGCAUGAAAUAGCUAUGUAGUCAUCUGCCCAGCCAAGUACAAGGUAAAGUUCCUUCCUAUAAUAGUAGCCUUACAUAUUAAGGUAAUGGCUUUCAUUCUUCGGGAUAUAGGUGUUUCAUGGUAUGGUAGAAAGUAUUGAUUGUGAAGGAUGGUUGCAACAUCUGAGCAAAUAGUUGGUUUGAACAUUUUGUAGUUGUGAUUUGCACUAGGAGUUGCUGGCCUUUUUCGUAUCAGCUUCAUCGUUGCCAUACUUUUUUGGUAGAUAUUUAAACAUAGCUCAGUACGUAUCACACUCGCAAAGGGAGAGACAAAGCGUAGUUAGAGUCGCACAAGCUACUUGCUUCUUUCCUGAACAAUUAGAUUAUGAUAUUAAUGCAAUGCCGAUUCCUACAUUCAGGUUUAUUAGUUGGUUUUUUAUAUUGGCUUUAGGACGGCCAGUGUAUUUUGGUUAAUAUAUAAUGUGCUGCCAUUUGUUAACUUAAAUAUAUUUUCAUGCAUUUUCUUUGUACAUUCUUUCCAUUCAGGUUGUUUAAUAUAUAUGUACUGCCAUUUAUUAACUUAAAUAUAUUUUGAUGCAUGCCCUUUGUAUAUUCUUUCUGUUUAGGUUGGCAAUCCAGUCACUUACUCUGUCAAUUAUAUUUCCUUUUUCUGUUUUCUAUCUCUCUUUACAUACAUGCCAUUGCCCACCAAGUAUCAUACUACCUCCAAUUUGGGACAGAUGAAGUACCUUUUAGUUUUGUAUGCCACUGAGUAUUAUUUGGUUACUACAAACCCAAGAUUGUAUGCAAAUUCAAGAAAAUGUAAUUUACUGUACAGAUCAGUGGUUUAUGCUUCCCAACACGGUAAUGGAACCUGCAGUAUGCAAAUUCCAGAAAAUGUAGUUUCAGGCACAAUAUAGUUUCCUGUGUGCACGACUGCAUGCUGUCUCCAAACCUUUAGUACAGGUUACAGUAUGAUAGGGAAACGCAUCAGCAACCCAAUCUACAUAAGUGAUGAAGAAGGUCAUAGCAACUUACUCCCCCCGUAAAGAAAUAAUAAGAGUGUUUAGAUCACUAAAGUAGUGAUCCAAACACUCUUAUAUCUCUUUACAGAGGGAGUACUUGUUUACUUUACAGUCUUUUUACACCUUUGAUUAAUGCUGACUAUUUGAGCACUGACUAAUUACUUUGAAGCCCACCACUGCACCAAGAAGCUGAAAGAUUCAGCUUAAAACAAAACAACAUGGCAACAUCACAAGAACCUCAACUAAGGUACCAACUUUGCUAAUGUCAAAAGAGUUCUACAUUUGAUUUUGCCGUGUCAAAAGUUGAGUGGUUAUUUCUUGAAAAAAAAAACUUGAGUAGUAUCUUUGCCAGUCUAUUUUGUGGGUCCAACAGAGUAGCAUGGAGGAACUUUGCCUCCAUUGUUUUUAUUUAUUAAAUUGGGCGGAAAAUACGAAUGUACAUCUUAUUGUGAGCAACAAGCCUCAUUUCUUUUUUCUUAUUAAAAGAGAGUAAAAUUGUUAAAAUGUGCUUGCCCACAACUAAACCAAAUAAUAUAUGGAUUUUUUUUCAUUGCACACAUGGAUUUAGAAGGCCUCUGCGCCAUUUGGCGCAAUGGGUUACCAAAUUUCUGUGUGCAGUGGGCCGGGCCUCUGCGCCAUUUGGCGCAACAGAUUACCGCAGUGGGCUGGGAUUCGGGGUCAUCCUUCUCACCACCAGUCGAACAUACUACCCAAUUUCUGUGUGCAGUGGGCUUGGAGCCGGGGUCAUCCUUCUCACCACCAGUCGAACAUACUACUUCAUCCACCAUGUCGAGCGAUAUAAAACUGUUAUCUGUUUCAUAGAGCAACAACACGAGAUUGUGCCCCCUCUUGAUCCUGGUGCAUAUUGCUGCCCUCCUCCCCCCUUUUGAUUCGAGUUUCUUUACAUUGUGUGAAGUUGUGUACUUCCAACUUUACAAAGCUAUACCAAAUUCGCAACUGUACUUGGCUAUACCUGUAAGUGAUGCAUUUCUCUGCAGGUUACUGACACUUUCUGAAAAAGUAUGGAUAUUGAAUGGAAGACGGGAGAAUGAUUGAUGAAAACAGACAACACUAGAAGUGAAUGCAUUAUUAGUCAAUGGAAACAUGAUUGUUUUAUACACUUUCUUUUACUGAGGAUGAACUUUGUGUUGCAUGCUAUGAACAAAUGUAGUGUUUGACUAAUUUUGAAUUCUAUGUUGAUGCAACAAGUUCAUUCUUUCUGCUUAUAGUCUAUUGUUUUGUGGAAUCAUAAUGUGGGUGAUCCAUUUCUCUUAAAUGUAUUCAAUAAUGCUUCGCUUAUGGGCCAUAUUUAUAUUUGUUACUUGUGGACAUGUGCUUAAUGAUCACUAUACCAAUAUAUUUUUCU
rnacentral:lncRNA from 1 species